AGUACUAAGAGUUUGAUCGUGGCUCAGGGUGAACGCUGGCGAUGUGCCUAAGACAUGCAAGUCGAGCGAGUCUAGUGCUUCGCACCUUGAGUUUGCAAAGCAGUUAUUAAAGAUAUUAAUAAACUUUAUAACUUAACAAACUUUCAAACUUAAAGUGCGGAGCGCUCGAUUAGCGGCGAACGGGUGAGUAAUAAGUACAGACAUACCCCUUUGUAGGACAUAGUCCGCCGAAAGGCGGGGUAAUUUCCUAUAGUUCCACCAAUAGGUGGAUAAAGACGCAAGUCGCGAAGGGAGUGGUGUACUCGCUACCAGCUUGUUGGUGAGGUAAUGGCUCACCAAGGCUAUGACGGCUACCGGCUCUUAGCGGAGGGUCCGGCACAAUGGGACUGAGACACGGCCCAUACUUCUACGGAAGGCAGCAGUUAGGAAUUUUGCGCAAUGGACGAAAGUCUGACGCAGCGACAUCGCGUGUGGGAUGACGGCCCUCGGGUUGUAAA
rnacentral:rRNA from 1 species